rnacentral:rRNA from 1 species
GAUGAACGCUGGCGGCGUGCCUAAUACAUGCAAGUCGAACGCACGAAUUUAUUCGUGAGUGGCGAACGGGUGAGUAAGACAUAAGUAACCUACCCUAGACAGGGGGAUAACUACUGGAAACGGUAGCUAAAACCGCAUAGGUGUAGAAGACGCAUGUUUUCUAUAUUAAAGGUGCUAAGGCAUUGGUAGAGGAUGGACUUAUGGCGCAUUAGCUAGUUGGUAAGGUAAAGGCUUACCAAGGCGACGAUGCGUAGCCGACCUGAGAGGGUGACCGGCCACACUGGGACUGAGACACGGCCCAGACUCCUACGGGAGGCAGCAGUAGGGAAUUUUCGGCAAUGGGGGGAACCCUGACCGAGCAACGCCGCGUGAAGGAAGAAGGUCUUCGGAUUGUAAACUUCUGUUAUAAAGGAAGAACGGAUAGUGGAGGGAAUGCCACUAUAGUGACGGUACUUUAUGAGGAAGCCACGGCUAACUACGUGCCAGCCGCCGCC